rnacentral:lncRNA from 1 species
CAGCGUUGCCGCUCCGCUCCUGUCCGCUGGCAGAGGUUCAACAGUGACCACUCUUGAUUCAUAUAACUCACAGCAAAGCCUCCAACUGUCUCAUGGACUAUAGAUCUAAAUUGAUACAGAAGAGGAGCUCUCAAU